rnacentral:rRNA from 1 species
ACACGACUACAUUAGAUACCCCGGUAGUCCCAGCCCUAAACGAUGCGCGUUAGGUGUAUCGGUGACCACGAGUCACCGAGGUGCCGAAGGGAAACCGUGAAACGUGCCGCCUGGGAAGUACGGUCGCAAGGCUGAAACUUAAAGGAAUUGGCAGGGGAGCACAACAACGGGUGGAGCUUGCGGUUUAAUUGGAUUCAACGCCGGAAAUCUUACCGGGACCGACAGCAACAUGAAGGCCAAGCUGAAGACUUUGCCGGAUUAGCUG